CCAGACUCCUACGGGAGGCAGCAGUGAGGAAUAUUGGUCAAUGGGCUUACGCCUGAACCAGCCAAGUCGCGUGAGGGAAGACUGCCCUAUGGGUUGUAAACCUCUUUUGUCAGGGAGCAAUUGGCGCUACGUGUAGCGUUAUCGAGAGUACCUGAAGAAAAAGCAUCGGCUAACUCCGUGCCAGCAGCCGCGGUAAUACGGAGGAUGCGAGCGUUAUCCGGAUUUAUUGGGUUUAAAGGGUGCGUAGGCGGACUGUUAAGUAAGGGGUAAAAGCCCGGGGCUCACCCCCGGCGAGCCGUUGAAACUGGCUGUCUUGAGAUGUCGAAAGGUAUGCGGAAUGCGCAGUGUAGCGGUGAAAUGCUUAGAUAUCGCGCAGAACCCCGAUUGCGAAGGCAGCGUACCGGCUCCACACUGACGCUGAGGCACGAAAGCGUGGGUAUCGAACAGGAUUAGAUACCCGCGUA
rnacentral:rRNA from 1 species